GGCGGUUCGCCGCCCGUGACGUCGCGAGAAGUCCACUGAACCUUAUCAUUUAGAGGAAGGAGAAGUCGUAACAAGGUUUCCGUAGGUGAACCUGCGGAAGGAUCAUUGUCGCUUGCGAGAACACGACCGUCGCGCACGUCAAACCUAGCGCCGCCCGGGCAUCCCUGCCCCCUCGGCCGCGGGCCCGGCCUCCCCGCAUGUCUCUCCGGCGGGUGCGGGGGCCGUGCCUGCACAAAAUACGGCGCGGAUUGCGCCAAGGAACACGAUAUGCAGAGGCGGCCUGCGGAGCGCCCCGGCGCCCCGCUUGCGGCCGACGCGAGAGAUAUUCACAUGAUGACUCUCGGCAACGGAUAUCUCGGCUCUCGCAUCGAUGAAGAACGUAGCGAAAUGCGAUACGUGGUGUGAAUUGCAGAAUCCCGCGAACCAUCGAGUCUUUGAACGCAAGUUGCGCCCGAGGGAUCCGCCCGAGGGCACGCCUGCCUCAUGGGCGUUAGAAGCCCAUCCACGCUCGGGAGCCCAGCCCCCGACGCGGACCGUGGCCCUCCGAGCCCCGUUCUACGGGGCGCGGUGGGCCUAAGUGCGCGGCCGCCGGAAGGAGCCGGGAGCGGCGAGUGGUGGACUGCUGCGUCCGCCGCCCCGCGUCUCUCUCUGGCAUGAGGCCUUGAUCGACCCUCGAACGAGGAGCCCUAUCCUAGGGCGUCUUCGGAUCGAUACCCCAGGUCAGGCGGGGCUACCCGCUGAGUUUAAGCAUAUAAAUAAG
rnacentral:rRNA from 1 species